rnacentral:lncRNA from 1 species
GGGGGCGGGAAGGAGUCACCAGUGUGGUCUGAGGCUGGGCUGCAGGAGGCAGCGCGUUCAAUCUCCCAGCCCCAGUGGCAGUGGGAAGGGGGGUGGGGGUGAAGGGAAGGACGUGGGAGGACACAAUCGCUGUCACCGCAGCUGAGGGGGAGGGGGGUACAAAGCCCCAGGAACACGGAAUUCCCGUGGGCUGGGGUGGUUGUUUUUUCUACGGGAGAGGGCAGUGACUGUGCCUCCCAAAGGACAGUAUGAGGAGCUGACCUUUCCAUUUCAGACCCUGGGCACCUCGCUCUCUCGCGCUCCGAAGGGCCCCGAGUCCGCUUUCUCGGGGGCGGAGGAGCCGCAGCGCGCUGGCAGCGAGCCAGGGCGCAGCCGGGCGCGUGAAACAGCAGGACAUGAAGGCAGAGUGGGAAGUGGACAAAAGCUCACUGGAAGGAGGCCAUCUCUUACACUUCGCAGACUGCCACAGUUGCAAAGGAACAUUCUCCAUGGAGCCUUCCUAUAUAAUUUAGGUGGUGACCUGAGAAGGAAAAUAGAGGCUAGAGGAAUACGGAUGUGAGAUAGAUAAGGCAGUCAGAGCAAGAAACGCAGGACUAAAGACUCAAAGACCACAAGUUAAAACACAUGGGGAGUUGUGAGCUCCUCUGUUGAUACCUCUCUGGAAGAAGAUAACGAGUGGAGAAAUUAGAAGUAUGAGAAACAAGAGAACCUGCAUGGAGCAGAAGACUCCAGGAUAUCCCCCAUAGACCAGGUGGUCAAGAGAUUAAUGGGAGAUGUGCGGGGCAGCUGUGCUGUGUAAGUCAGUCAAACAUGAGGCAAGACCAAGAUCAAGAUUGUAAGAUGCAAGGGAGAGAGUAAGGACUGUGAGAUCAAGAGGUGUGAGAGAGGAGAGGAGAAGAAGCUCACACAUGUUCCCUAGCUUUUACUGGGGUCCUUAGGAAUGUCAAGUUAGAGGUGAUUAAUGAAUAUAUGACAUGAUAUAGGUUUUGACAUUGGUUGAAUUGACAAUGAUGGAAUCAAAUAGGAGAUUAAUCCAACCCGGGCUUUGUAAGGGAAUGUAGUCCGAGCCAGGACACUGUGGCUGUCAAUGCCCAGCAGAGGAAUUUGCUUGUCCUUUGCACUAGUCCUUUGGAUUGUCCCUUUCCAUACAAUGAACAUUAAGUGAUCUGACCAUGUGUCUGGUAAAUGAAUAUACAGGAUACAAUAUCAAUGCAUCAAUCAUACUUCCAAGAUGCCAAGAUGCCUAGUAUGCUACACUUCCCCAUUUACUUUGGUCUCUAGUGAUUCUCCCCUUCCUCAUAAUCCAGAGUAUUUGUCACUGAUAAUCAUUAAGGGAUGUGAUCACUUUCUAUAUCUUGGUGCUCUCUAAUUAUUUCAUACAUGUAAGUCUUGCUUUCACUGUUAGUUUGUCCCUUAGGGUCAUAGACCUCAUCUUACAUUUCUUUGUUUCCCUCCACUCCAUAAUAAUUGCUCAGUUGUUUCAAUAAAUUUAUUCAUCUAAUAGGGACA